UUUAUUUUGGAUAGGGGCCCAGGGUUCUGAAGUAACUGCCUGCAGCUGGGUGCGGACCCUGAGAUGGGGGAGCAGUGCUUCAUGGUCAUGAGGCCCUCAAGAUUUGGGAAAACGUGUGCUCUGAGUUGACUUGCAGAGUGUCUGGGGCCUCAUGAUUCAUGGAAAAGACAGGAGUCCCGCCAUGCUCCUGAGCCAGGCAUUCUGGGUGGUCCACAGCUCUGAGCCCACCCGAGAACGCCAGGGCCGUGAGACGCAGCCCUGAUGGAGGAAGAUGACAAGAGUGGGUGUGACCGCAGAGCGGCACUGUGGCUGCCUCCAAGUCCAGUCAGCUCUGGGGAGCCUCUUUCCUGUUUGUCUGUGGUUCUCACUGUCCUCAGGCUCCUAAGUCCCCCGCGUUCCAUCUGGCACCCAGAACUGCAGCUAAUACCCUGGGGCCAGCCUGGUGCUCUGUCAUCUCUCUGCCACAUUCCACAGGGUAAAAGCUGGCUGCUCCAAAGCACUUUCACAAAGCCGGUCAACUCACUUCCCUGUGAACCCAUCAACAGUUGUCGGUUUCCAUGCACAAACCUCCCUCUGGCUGCUUUCCUGAAUUCGGAUUGCUGAGCAAGCGC